GUGCAGAUCAAAAUGUUUUUCCUCAAAUGUUUGUGAUGGAGACAGCACAACAAGAAUUGAUUAUAAGACCUUGUGAUACUUUUGAUCCAUGACUUAACAUUUAAUAAUCUUAACGUUAUUCCUGUAAUGCUAUAAGAACCAGUUCAAAUCCAACAGAACCUCUCUCUGUUUAUGGAAAUCUAUUUAGUGAUAAUGUGGAGCCCACCUGAACUUACCUUAAAGAGUAGAGGGUGAAGACUUGAAGUUUAUGCAACUUACUCCUACCCUUUAAUCACCUUGUCUAUCUAAUGCUAAACAAUGGAAUACAGAAUUUUCUUUGCUUUAAAGGUAGAGUAGAAACAUCAUCAGAUUGAUCUCCACUUGCACCCUACUCUUCUGUAUCUGAUGAAUUUGUAUGGAAGAAAGCUUAAGAUGUUCACAUAUAUAAUAUGAUCCAAUACAGCAUAUACACACCGUGGCUGUGUAAACAGGCUCAAUGGAGAUAUUUGGUGUUCGCAUUAUUUCUUUGUUACUUUUCUUGAUGCUUACUAAAAACUUAAGUUGCAAUGCUUUUGGUGGGAGUAUGAAGGAUGAGGAAGCACUCAAGGAAGGCCAAAAUGACAUGGAAAAUUCUGUCUCAAAUUAUGGGUUUGUGUUUGAAAUUCCUUGCAUCUGUAGUAGUCGUAUCUUAUGUUUACUUGGCACUCACGUCUUGUAUGUUUUUUAGUGAAAUGAGGGGCGUGGAAGAUGAUGAUUGGCAGAUGGUGCAAAAGAAGGGAAACCAAUUUGUGGUGAAUGACAAACCUUUCUAUGUGAAUGGAUUCAACACAUAUUGGCUUAUGGUAUUUGCUGCAGAUGAGUCCACCAGAGGAAAGGUCACUGAGGUGUUCAAGCAGGCAUCCUCAGUGGGUAUGACAGUUUGUAGGACGUGGGCCUUCAAUGAUGGCCAAUGGAGGGCCCUACAGAAAUCUCCAUCAGUUUAUGAUGAAGAAGUCUUCAAGGUGCUUUUUCAGUACUGUUUUGUUAUUCUGUGUAAUAUUCUACACUAAAUUGGUAUUCAGUUUACUGCAUAAAAUAAUACUUUACACAUAAUUAUAAUGUUAACUUGUCCGGUAUUAUCAGCUGUUUGUUACUUCAAUUGAACCAUGUUAAAUGUGCUAUAAUUGUUUGCUUGUGUAAGCUUUGCCAUGGUAAUUGAAAUCAGAAUAUGCUACAAUCAAACUUCAGAGUUUGUAGUCAUCAGUGCAGGUAAUUAGCAUACCUUGUGUAAUUCCAUUUUACUAUUGGUUUCUCAGGCCCUGGACUUUGUGGUGAGUGAAGCAAAGAAAUACAAAAUCAGGCUUAUAUUAUCAUUGUCUAACAACUGGGAGGCAUAUGGAGGCAAAGCACAAUAUGUGAAAUGGGGAAAUGCUGCUGGCCUUAACUUGACCUCUGAUGAUGACUUCUUCUCACAUCCAACUCUUAGAAGCUACUACAAGGCCCAUGUUAAGGCAAGUUCCUGUAAAUAAAGAAACAGGUCAAAACCACCAUUGCUAGUUUCAUCAGGACACUUGAAUUGAAGCCUGUUUGUUAUAUAUUGCAAAACUAAACCUACCCUGUAAUCAUAUCUUGAUAUGGACUGUUUUGUUUUUUUCUGUAAUUGUUUUUCUUUAUGAUUAUGCUAAGCUGGUUCCAAUACUAUUUUCACUGUGUAGACUGUGCUCAAUAGAGUUAACACUUUCACAAAUAUCACUUACAAGGAGGAUCCAACAAUUUUUGCUUGGGAGUUGAUGAAUGAGCCUCGUUGCACCUCAGAUCCCACAGGUGACAAGUUACAGGUUUAUCCCUUUCUUUUGGCUUCCAUAUCACAAGGAAGGGUCUAGAGGUAUUGUUUGAAAAGAAAACAUAGACACACUCUGUGUUGUCAUAAAUCACAUUGCAUUACACAAUUGCAUUCUAAUUAAUAGCAAGUUCUUUCCAUGAUGUCACAUAGUUCACUGAACCCAACUGCUCACUUGAAUGUGUAUUCUAGGAUUGGAUUCAAGAAAUGGCAUUCCAAGUGAAGAAAAUUGAUCCAAAACACCUAGUAGAGGUUGGACUAGAAGGAUUUUAUGGCCCAUCAACACCUCAGAGAACUCAGUUCAAUCCCAAUACAUAUGCUACACAGGUUGGAACUGAUUUUAUAAGGAACCACCUGGCUCUUGGUGUGGACUUCGCUUCUGUUCAUAUAUAUGCUGACUCUUGGUAAGUCUGUUCAGAAUUGCUAUUGUUUUAUUAAAAAAAUAUGAAGUUUUCAUAAAACUUACUCAUGUCAAACGUUCAUGUAAGGAGUUUCUUUUUCACGUUGUUAGUAUGAAAAUAUUUAUAUUGUUAACCAAUAGAAAAUAUGUCAAGUAUGUCAACCAAUAGACUUGUAAGGUAAUUAUUAUAAAAGUGGACAAACUUACCAUCAUGACAUCCUGUGAUUGGAUGACAGUUAUACUGUCAAUGCAUUUAAAUUAAAUUCUUAUACGAACUGUUUAUAUCAGUAUUACAUUCAUAUGCAUGCACAUUUGCCUAGUGUAUAAGAAAUACUGAUUGUUGUUAGUGAUUUAUUUUGACAUACAUAUACUACAGUUCUAACUUAAUCAGCUAUCUGGUUGAAGGAUUUCACAACAAAUUGCUGAUUCUCAUCUCUCAUUUGUAAAAUCAUGGAUGGAAGCCCACAUAGAUGAUGCUGAAAAGCAUCUUGGAAUGCCAGUUGUUUUUGCUGAGUUUGGUGUAUCUUCCAAAGACCCUGGCUACAAUUCAUCAUACAGAGAUACACUCAUAAGUAGUGUGUACAAUACCAUCCUAAACUCCACAAAGAAAGGAGGGAGUGGGGCUGGAAGCCUUUUGUGGCAAUUUUUUCCUGAUGGAACUGAUAACAUGGAUGAUGGCUAUGCAAUUGUUCUCUCAAAAUCUCCCUCCACCUCAAACAUUAUACAGCUUCAAUCCACUAGGCUUGCGAUGUUCAAUUCCUUGUGCAAUACUAAAUGCAAUUGGGGAUGUAAGAAGAAAAAGUUUUUGAACAACAUACUCUAUCACGAUGAACUGUAACACCAUGUGUGGGAAAGUUUCCAAUUGUAAUGCUGUGGUCCUAUAAAACCAUGCAUGGAUAAAUAUGUGAUUCACCAUACCUUUUGUUAUGAACAAUGCUCUAAUUUGUAUGUUGUGGCAUUAUUGUCACGCAAGGUCACCACCAUAUUAAACUAGAAGACUACUACAACAUUAUAUAGCAAUUUCUAAAAUAAAUAAGUUAGCAUUAUACUAUAGGUGCUAAGUACACCGAUUGCCUUGUGGAAAACAAAGCAAAUUGUAGAUUGGAAUACAAUGAACAAUAGUUUCGUAUAAGAGCAAUGGUUGAUUGAAAGUGUCAAAUGAAAUUGAAUAAAUAAACCAUCCAAUCUUAAAUAUCAUGGAUAAGUAAAAAAGUCCUUACUUAUAAGAAAAAAAAGAAAUAGAUUGUCUCUUCCUCCAGUUCUAUAUUUUUUGUAAGCAUUGGCAUUAUAGGCCAUCUCCUUCUAAACUCUGAAUAUUUAACCCUCGAAGAAAAAUGAGAAAAUUGAGUUUUCUCAAGGUCCAGAGGGUCCUAGAGGCCUUUAGAAGUUGGGGGUAAAGUGUUCAAAGUGAGAAAAUUGAGUUUUGAUCUUACUGAUAGUGCCUGAGUGCCCAUUUCAAGAGGCGCCAGCGCUGAGCGCCAACCCUUGGGUGCUCGAGCAAUGCGGGACGCCACUGCACUUGUUUUUUGGGGGCUUUCAGGGUUUUGGAUAUCCGUUUUGGAAAUUUUUUAGCUUGUUUUGAACACUUCUAGAGCAAUUGGUAAAUGGUUUCAAAGUUGUUUUCCUUACCUAAGUAUGAGUUUAAAGGCGUUUUGUGUUGUUUAAUGAUUCUUCUUGGACUGUUCUUGUGUAUUAAUGAUGUAUAUAUAAAAUGUUUGUGUGAAGUAUGUGGAUGAUUGUGUGAAUGUUGUUAAUGAACAUAAUUCCAUGAUUCACCAUACCUUUUGUUAUGAACAAUGCUUUAAUUUGUAUGUUAUGGCAUUAUCGUCACGUAAGGUCACCACCAUAUUAAACUAGAAGAUUGUUGCAUCGUUCUUCGUUCUUUUCAAUAAGAAUAUAUACAUGUGCACCAUUAUAUAGCAAUUUAUAAAACAAAUAAGUUAGCAUUAUACUAUAGGUGCUAAGUACACCGAUUGCCUUGUGGAAAACAAAGCAAAUUGUAGAUUGGAAUACAAUGAACAACAAUUUUGUACAAGAGCAAUGGUUGAUUGGAAGUGUUAAAUGAAAUUGAAUAAAUAAACCACCCAAUCAUAAAUAUCAUGGAUAAGUAAAAAAAUCCUUACUUAUUAGAAAAUGAGCAAUAGAAUGACUCUUCCUUAAGUUCUAUAAUUUAUGUACGCAUUGGCAUUACUGGCCAUCUCCUGCAAAACUUUGAAUAUUUACCCCUCGAAGAAAAAUGAGAAAAUUGAGUUUUCUCAGGGUCUAGAGGGUCUUGGAGGCCUUUAGAAGUUGCGGGUAAAGUGUUCAAAGUGGGAAAAUUUAGUUUUGAUCUUACUGAUAGCGCUUGAGUGCCCGUGUCUAGAGGCGUCAGCGCUGAGCGCCAACCCUUGGGCGCUCGAGCACUGUCGGACGCCACUGCACCUGUUUUUUGGGGGUUUUCAGGGUUUUGGAUAUCUGUUUUGGACGUUUUUUAGCUUGUUUUGAACCCUUUUAGAGCUGUUGGUAAUGGUUUCAAAGUUGUUUUCCUUACCUAAGUAUGAGUUUAAAGGAGUUUUGUGUUGGUUAAUGAUUCUUCUUGGACUGUUCUUGUGUAUUAAUGUAUAUAUAAAAUGUUUGUGUGAAGUAAUAUGUGGAUGAUUGUGUGAAUGGUGUUGAUGAACAUAAUUCCAUGAUUCACCAUACCUUUUGUUAUGAACAAUGCUUUAAUUUGUAUGUUGUGGCAUUAUCGUCAUGCAAGGUCACCACCAUAUUAAACUAGAAGAUUGUUGUAGCAUUCUUUGUUGUUUUCAAUAAGAAUAUAUACAUGUGCACAAUCAUAUAGCAAUUUAUAAAAUAAAUAAGUUAGCAUUAUACUAUAGGUACUAAGUACACUGAUUGCCUUGUGGAAAACAAAGCAAAUUGUAGAUUGGAAUACAAUGAACAACAAUUUCGUACAAGAGCAACGGUUGAUUGGAAGUGUCAAAUGAAGUUGAAUAAAUAAACAAUCCAAUCUUAAAUAUCAUGGAUAAGUAAAAAAAUCCUUACUUAUCAGAAAAAAAACACUAGAUUGUCUCUUCCUUCAGUUCCAUAUUUUUUGUACGCAUUGGCAUUACUGGCCAUCUCCUGCCAAACUCUGAAUAUUUACCCCUCGAAGAAAAAUAAUAAAAUUGAGUUUUCUCAAGGUCCAGAUGGACCUAGAGGCCUUUAGAAGUUGAGGGUAAAGUGUUCAAAGUGGGAAAAUUGAGUUUUGAUCUUACUGAUAGCGCUUGAGGGCCCGUGUCUAGAGGCGCCAACGCUAAGCGCCAACCCUAGGGCACUCGAGCACUGCGGGACACCACUGCACUUAUUUUUUGGGUGUUUUCAGGGUUUUGGAUAUCCGUUUUGGAUGUUUUUUUAGCUCGUUUUGAACCCUUCUAGAGUUGUUGGUAAUGGUUUCAAAUGGUUUUUCCUUACUUAAGUAUGAGUUUAAAGGAGUUUUGUGUUGUUUAAUGAUUCUUCUUGGACUGUUAUUGUGUAUUAGUGUAUAUAUAAAAUGUUUGUGUGAAGUAAUAUAUGGAUGAUUGUGUGAAUGGUGUUGAUGAACAUAAUUCCAUGAUUCACCAUACCUUUUGUUAUGAAUAAUGCUUUAAUUUGUAUGUUGUGGCAUUAUCGUCACGAAAGGUCACCACCAUAUUAAACUAGAAGACUGCUGCAACAUUCUUCGUUGUUUUCAAUAAGAAUAUUUACAUGUGCACCAUUAUAUAGCAAUUUAUAAAAUAAGUAAGUUAGCAUUAUACUAUAGCUGCUAAGUACACUGAUUGCCUUGUGGAAAACAAAGCAAAUUGUAGAUUGGAAUACAAUGAACAACAAUUUCGUACAAGACCAAUGGUUGAUUGGAAGUGUCAAAUGAAGUUGAAUAAAUAAACCAUCCAAUCUUAAGUAUCAUGGAUAAGUAAAAAAAUCCUUACUUAUCAGAAAAAAAGCAAUAGAUUGUCUCUUCCUUCAGUUUUAUAAUUUUUAUACGCAAUGAUUCUUCGUUGUUUUCAAUAAGAAUAUAUACAUGUACACCAUUAUAUAGCAAUUUAUAAAAUAAAUAAGUUAGCAUUAUACUAUAGGUGCUAAGUACACCGAUUGCCUUGUGGAAAACAAAGCAAAUUGUAGAUUGCAAUACAAUGAACAACAAUUUCGUACAAGAGCAAUGGUUGAUUGGAAGUGACAAAUGAAAUUGAAUAAAUAAAUCAUCCAAUCUUAAAUAUCAUGGAUAAGUAAAAAAAAUCCUUACUUAUCAGAAAAAAGAAGCAGUAGAUUGUCUCUUCCUUCAGUUCUAUAUUUUUUGUAUGCAAUGGCAUUACUGGCCAUCUCCUGCCAAACUCUGAAUAUUUACCCCUCGAAGAAAAAUGAGAAAAUUUAGUUUUCUCAAGGUCGAGAGGGUCCUAGAGGCCUUUAGAAGUUGAGGGUAAAGUGUUCAAAGAGGGAAAUUUGAGUUUGGAUCUUAGUGAUAACGCCUGAGCGCCCGUGUCUAGAGGCGCCAGCGCUGAGCACCAACCCUUGGGCGCUCGAACACUGCCGGAUGCCACUGCACCUGUUUUUUGGGGGGUUUUUAGGGUUUUGGAUAUCUGUUUUGGACGUUUUUUAGCUUGUUUUGAACCCUUCUAGAGCUGUUGGUAAUGGUUUCAAAGUGGUUUUCCUUAUCAAAGUAUGAGUUUAAAGGAGUUUUGUGUUGUUUAAUGAUUCUUCUUGGAUUGUGCUUGUGUAUUAAUGUAUAUAUAAAAUGUUUGUGUGAAGUAAUACAUGGAUGAUUGUGUGAACGAUGUUGAUGAACAUAAUUCCAUUAUCCUUGUGGAGAGGUUACAUGGCGGUGCCCUGUAGUGUUGUUUGUAUGAAGAGUCAGAGUUAAUCCGGAGGUUUAUGCUGAAGCUCUCAAUAACCUUAAUCUCUGGUAGAGAUGGAUUGUUAUGUGGUGAAGAGUAACAGGAGGUCUUAGUCUAUGUUCAUUGAUUAGGGACAUAGGUGUUGACGGACUAACCUUGUGGAUGAUAUAGGUUGGUGUUUGUAUUUGGAUUUGAAUGGGUAUUGUUGGAAGCCACCACAAGUACAUGAACUACCGUAGCUCGACAUUCAUAUUGUAUCUAGAUGGUCAAGUCUAGUUUGUGACAUGUUUAGGAUGAAUAUUUAUCUUGUGCAUGUAAUAUAAUGUAUGAUAGAACUUUCUUUGAUUAAGAUGAAUUGCUUAUCCAAUAGCUUACUCUUGCAUUUGUGUUAUGUAUAUGCUUUUUUUAAAGAUAAUCACCUAAAUGGUGUGAGCUUAGAGAUGAUAUCUUUGAGAGAUUUAACGUUUGGUUGAGAAAAAAAAAACAACAAAAUAGAUAGUUUUUGGUCAAUCAAAAAUAUGAUCUCUUGUUCUAAUAACCUCAAGUUUCUUGUAAGAUCUCAUUUAUGUAUGCCUUAUUUUAGUAGUUUUAUACUACUAAAUUGGAAUGUUACAUAUAUCACUCAUUUUGUUUGAUAUUUAUUAUUAUAAUUUCUUUUAUAGUUUAAACAAUAUUUUUUUUUUGAGUUUUUUUUUUCAUCAAAAGUUUAACUAAUAAAAAUUUUAUCUAUAUUUAUUUAAUUUGUUUCAAUUUUAUUAUUAAUAAUAUACUAAUGAGAUAUAAAAAAUUUAAGACAUUAAAAUAAAAUUAUUAUUAAAAUAUUUAUAAAAAAAAAUUCUAUAAGAUUUUGUUUAUGUUAACUAACCACAUACUUCCAUAUCAAUCAAACAAAAUUAGUUUAUAAUUCUAAUAUGUAGUCAAUCAGCUCGAUCCGGUUUUUGCGAACAAAAGCCGACAAGUCUCCAUUUCCAUCAUGUUAUUCAAAUAUUAAAAAUACAUUAACAAACACAAUAACUUAAAUAUAUAACAUUUAUUACUUGUUAAUGUUUUACAACAUCGUAUACUAAUUUAUUUUUAGGCUUAAUACCUCCCUUGUUCCUCGUAUUUGUGUGAAAAUCUCAGUCCGAUCCUUAAGUUUUGAACUGUCUCAAUUGGGUCAUAAUUUUUGUAAAAAUGCACACAUUUACCCUAACCGUUAACUGAUCUCAAACGGCGUUAAGUUUAGCUGACGUGGUAUGCUGACGUGUUGGCUUAAUCCCUUCUUGGUCCUCGUAUUUGUGUGAAAAUCUCAGUUCGGUCCUCAAGUUUUGAACUGUCUCAAUUGGGUCAUAAUUUUUGUAAAAAUGCACACAUUUUAUCCCAAUCGCUAACUGAUCUUAUUGUGCAACAGUUAUCUUCCGCUAUCAGUGGAAUAAAUAGCUUAAAGGUUUAUUGGUUACCAAGUUGGUUCAUUUGCAGAAAAGGCUGUGAGACUGAUUGCACUAGUUACGGGAGUUUUCCGGUGACUUUAUUUUUUGAAUCGACGAGAUAAUCUGUGUAAAAUCCUGAUUCUUAGAGAGAUGAAUAAAAUCCCUAUCCCUGAUUCUUAGAGAGAUGAAUAAAAUCCCUAAUUCAAAUAAACUAAAUAAUAAGCAUUGUGCCACGUGAAACACUGCUUAUUUUAAAAAAUAAUUCAUAUAAUUAAAUAAUACACGUCAGCAUGUCCUCUAGCUACACGUCAGCUAAACUUACGCCGUUUGAGAUCAGUUAACAAUUGUGGUAAAAUGUGUGCAUUUUUACAAAAAUUAUGACCCAAUUGAGANAGUUCAAAACUUGAGGACCGAANUGAGAUUUUCACACAAAUACGAGGACCAANAAGGGANUAAGCCAACACGUCAGCAUACCACGUCAGCUAAACUUAACGCCGUUUGAGAUCAGUUAACGGUUGGGGUAAAAUGUGUGCAUUUUUACAAAAAUUAUGACCCAAUUGAGAUAGUUCAAAACUUGAGGACCGAAGUGACAUUUUCACACAAAUACUAAGACCAAGGUAUUAAGCUUUUAUUUUUACAAAAUUAUAGUUAACUAUAUCAUAUUACACUUAAAAAAAAUUAAUCAAUUUUAAAAAUUAAAUAUACGAUUUUUUUUAGCUCAGUUUUGAAAAACUGAAUUUAUCAGAUUUUUAAUUCAGUUAAUCUAUUUCCAUCACUUUCAUUUCCAGUUAUUCCUAAAAGGUGAAUAAGAGCAAAUAAGAGUUUCAACUAAAAUCCAUGUAGACCUUGCCUGUCGUUGUCCACCGUGUGAUCCGGUCGUCGAAAGAGAGUUCCAACGAAAACUUACGGUGACCCUGCCGUGGCUCUACUGUGACGCGCGGCCGCUGCCACCGUGACCAUGUCUUCAAGGGGAAGCUCCAAUAAAAACUCACGGUGAUGUUAAUAUGCUAAAUGGUAAAUUUUGUUCGAUAAAUUGUCUUAACAGUUAAUUUGUAUUGUUCUUUGUAUUGUUACUAGGCCUAUCAUCAAUUUAUAGUAAUUGACCAACAUCAGAAUUGUUAUGGUAUCUCUGAUAAAUUCUAAUUUACUGCAUAAUUUUUUCAAUUGACAUUUUAUUAUAUAGGGGCUGCGUAUUUGUUACCUCAUCGUUUACUGCAUAAUGUACUGUUGUAGAUUUCUUUUAAUGGAUUCUCUCUAUUCUUUUGUAAAGUUUGGAUUUUGUUGUUCUAUGGGGAUUUCUUAUCUCUGCUAUGUGUUGUUCUGCUAUGAGCUCUUUGUCAGUAAUCUUGGCAGUGCAAGCUCUCUUCCAGAUCAAAAACAUUCUGACAGAUCAAGUCUCUUUGAUUUGUUCACUCUAAAGGUUAGCUUUGGGACAUUAUGUCUUCCACUCACUUUUUUUUUGUUGUAAAGUCAGAUUAUAGUUAUUCAUUAGAGGUGAUUCUUAUUUGUUAUUCGUGCCUCUUAAUUUACAUAAUGAUGACAAGGAGGAAGGGGGAAAAUGAUUUCUUCUGUUGUUACAGGCAUGAGAUUGUUUUUUGAGUGGGAAUAGGUGAAUUUCGGUUAUUGUGUCUUCAAUCCUUAUUUUCCACACACCAAUUCAGCCUGUCAAUGCUCUUGGUGCAGCCAUUGCAAUUCUUGGUACCUUCCUCUGUUCACAGGUACGUUUUCAUUUCUUUCAUUUCUGUUUGCUUACACAGUAUACUACCUAUCUGUUUGAGACUAAUUGAAAGUAGUGAUGAAGAAUUUUCCAUAUCUCUCAGGAUUUAACCUCUUAUACUUAAUGUUCUUCGUUACAAACUUCUUAUGUCAAAAGUGAAUUUCAUUCAUGACUCAGAAAAUAUACACAAGGUGCUACUUUUCAAUAUUUAUGCUCUGACACGUAAAUGGUUCACUGAACUGUAAUAUAAGUGAACUAAAAGAUGGAAAAUGAUAUUUUAACACCAUUUUUUGACAUCAUUUUGACACUGCACACGUGUCAAAAUGUGGUUAGACGAUUUCAAAUUAAAAAAACAAACUUUGGUUUUUCUCUUCCAAAUAUACNNCUGCCUCAACUUUUUUAAUUUGAAAUCGUCCAAUCACAUUUUGACAUGUGUAUCGUGUCAAAAUAGUGUCAAAAAAUGGUAUUAAAAUAUCAUUUUCCCUAAAAGAUAGUUCAAUUCAGAUUGGUCGAACUAUAUUUUAGUUACUUGAACUAUUUUAUAAUUAAUUAUAAAUUUUUAUAGUACAGUAUAAUGAAUAACCAAAAAUAGAAAAAUGUUUUCAAGUUUUUGUCUUCAAUUCUUUAAAAACGUGGUCAUCAAGAUGGUCACCAUCAGACUCUUCCUUUGAUGAAUAGUGUACAUCAUCAACAUCAAAAGCCAUAUUAUAAAAAUCAAUUGCAUCUAAAGUUGUAUUAGUUGAACUUGUUCCGGUUAAAUAAACAUUUUCACCAUCACCCACAUUGAGCGUCCUCAAAAUGAGUGAUCCAUCCAUCGUUAAACUCAAUAACAUUAAAUGGAAGAAAAAUAUCUUCAAAAGUGUGCAAAAAAUGAGUUUACUUUAUUCAAGCUGUAAUUGAGGAGUGAAUUUAUGAAGUCAUGAGUUUUCGAGUUGAACCUAAAGUUCAACAGCUAUGUUCAUCACUGUAACCAAAAUUUAGAUAUAAGACUAUAUUAUCUUACCUCGGUUUUCCCUCUACACGAAAGAAUUUAGAGACUUAAGAAAAGAUAUAAUAAAAGAACUUCUUUGUCGCCCCAAAGGUUAAAAUUUAAACUAAAAUUCCUUUCAACAUCACAAUGUCUAAAACAUGCAUGGUUUUUAAGAGAGAAAUAUAAGAAAAUUUUUAAGAGAGAAGAAAACUUACUCAAGGGUAUGGUUGAGAUUCAACCCAAACCCAAAAUUCUUUUUAACAUCGCAAUCUCUAAGACAUGCAUGGUUUUCAAAAGAGCAAAAUAUGAUUUUUUUUUUUUUUAAGAAAAGAGAUAAAGAAGAACUUAUAUUGUUUUACUAAGCCCACUCCCUUCUUAUUUGAAAGACCCAACAGUUUACUAAACUCAUCGCUUAGAAAUAUUAUUGGAAGGGUAACAUUUUUUUUCACCUCUAUAUUUUUAUUGUACCUUCAUAAAUUUUUUAGUUUCAGAUUAUACAAUUCAAAUGUAAAUUUUAUAUUCUAAAAUAUACAAUCUAAAAUAUAUUUUUUAUUUAGAAUUUCAAAAUGUACAAUUAUAAAAAUAAAUUAUAUUUUAAGAUUUUACAACUUAAAAUACAAAAAUUUUCAAGGUUGCAGAUCAAAAUGUUUUUGAUGGAGACAGCACAAGAAUUGAUCAUAAGACCUUGUACUAGAUUAUCCUGUGUGUAUACUUUUGAUCAAUGACUUAACAUUUAAUAAUCUUAACGUUAUCCCUGUAAUGCUAUAAGAACCGGUUCAAAUCCAACAGAGCCUCUCUCUGUUUAUCGAAAUCUAAUUAGUGAUAGUGUGGAGCCCACCUGAACUUACCUUAAAGAGUAGAGGGUGAAGACUUGAAGUUUAUGCAACUUACUCCUACCCUUUAAUCACCUUGUCUAUCCAAUGCUAACAAUGGAAUAGAGAAUUUUCUUUGCUUCAGAG
rnacentral:lncRNA from 1 species